AUCUGUCAGGAAAGGACAACCAGGCUUCCUCGUUUUCUCUUCAAUGCUCUCCACAAAGGUGACAAUAACACCUGAUUUUACAGAGGACAAUUUUCUUAACAUUUAAAAUAUGCCCCCCCACCACCCCCCAGCCAUAGCGAGAAAGCUGUAAAUCCCAGCAGCUGCCAUUUGAGGUAGGCCAGACAUGUAGCUGAAUGGCAGAAGGGGAAACGGGACGUGCUUCAGAGACACGUGAGGAAGCCUGGGCUUCUGAGAAGGUUGAUUAGAACAGUGGUAGCAAGAGGACGGGAGAGCCGUGCUUCCCUGAAGAAAAGACUUAACAGAGCAAUUGGGCCUCAACUCCACAGGCAACCGCAGCACAGAUGGGAAUUCUGGGAAGGAAAUGGCACUGCGUCAUCAAUGGAAAACGCGUCCCUCCAAUCCCCUUAACAUGGCUUAACAAACAUCUACCUCCCUAGCCACGUUAGCCAAGGAGUUGAUUGCCCUUCCCAGCUAGAAUGCUAGGUCUCCCCCAAGUCAGAGAGUGCAUUUUCUUGACCAGAAGGAAAUAGUUUCCCCUAAAUGGGCGUUACUGCUACUGUGACGCUGAUGAUCAGGGUGCCUCGGUGGGGGCCUCUGCUCUCCAGGGCUCUGGGUCUUUCACAUGGGAUCGAAUUCCCUCUCCAUAGUCCCCUGGGGUGGGGGUCAAUCCAUGUUAGACAUGUUUGAAUCACACAGGUCUCAGGGUCAGAGCCAGGCAGAGGCCCAAGAGAGAGACAUUGUGGAGUGGAAAACAGGGGAAAGCAGGCAGGAUGGAGGCCAGACAAGAGACAAUGGAUGCACGUAUUUUGAAACCAGUGUGCAUGGUGCCUCUACCCACUUCCCACUUUCUGAAAACUCACCAGUGAUCUCAGAGGAAAGCCAGAUGGCAGGAAGGGCUGUGGGUCCCCUGCCCAGCCUCCAGGUCACCCCUGUCUGUCCCUGGCUGCCUUUCUGUCUGCACUGCCUUCUCCUGCACCUGCCCCCUCCCUUGGCUUUCACUGUGGCUUUUCCAUCCCAGGAGUAUCUCUACCAGGGAGCAGGAGGCCAAGCCCGGGCCAGCCAGCCUCAGUCAGAUCAAACGCUUCCAAGUCGGCUGCCUCUCCCAUUACGGAAUUGCUGACACCACCACCAGUGGAUUCACGCCACUGUCACUGUCACUGCUGGCUACCCAGAGUGCCUGUCUUCCAGGAGUCUACCCAGCGUAAGCUGUUCCUAUCCAGGGUACGAUGUAGCGUCAUCCAUUGCUUUCCGUGUGAGGGGGCGAGUGGAACUGGUAAGUGGUAAGCGAGGGCCCAACAGUCACUAAUGCUCACCAAGCGCACCCUACCACACACACACAGACCACACAGAGGUGAAGGCGGAGAGCUCUCCUUGACCUCGGGCUGUGAUUCCUGGCCAAGGCCUGGACACAGACCAUAGCAACGAGCACAGAGGUCGCAGGCACCGGUGGGCUAAGCAGGGAUAAUGGCUGGUGGUAGGUAGGCAGUGGCUCAGGACCAUUCUGGGGGACAAUCAGGUUUACAGGGCAGGAGGUCAAGCCUCGGUGCAUGGUGUGGAAAGUCUCCAGGGAAACAAGACACGGGAGUGUCCUCAAACUGGAACAGGAAGGCAGGGGUAAUGGUAAUGGGUGAGAUUCUUAGUAAGAGAGCAAAGUGGACCAUGAUCCGCCUCUUAAAAGUCCCUGUGGGUAGGGGGCACACAAAAAGAAAGAUCCAGAAAAAAAGGCUCAGAAGGAAAUUUUAAAUAGAAGGCUCGGGUAUUUGCAAGGAAAGAAGAAUGUAAGGGAAGGCAGUCUCUUUGCCCAAGUAAAGCUCUGGAUUUCCAUUAGAAAAGAUGGACUAAAACCACCAUUUGUUGGCAAGAGCAGAACAUUUUCAACAGUGCCUGCUAACUGCCUGCCUCGGGAAAGCCAGUCCACAGAGCUAAGCACACAAGCAGCCCUGCUGUGUCCGGCAUCUGGGGUGGACACCCCAAUUCCACAAUGCCCUGACCAGCACUAUAUUUUAAAAAAAGAAAGGAAGAAAGGAAAGAAGGG
rnacentral:lncRNA from 1 species